rnacentral:rRNA from 1 species
UCCAGACUCCUACGGGAGGCAGCAGUCGGGAAUAUUGCACAAUGGAGGAAACUCUGAUGCAGUGACACCGCGUAUAGGAAGAAGGUUUUCGGAUUGUAAACUAUUUUAGACAGGGAAGAAAAAAGACAGUACCUGUAGAAUAAGCUCCGGCUAACUACGUGCCAGCAGCCGCGGUAAUACGUAGGGAGCAAGCGUUAUCCGGAAUUAUUGGGUGUAAAGGGUGCGUAGACGGGACAGCAAGUUAGUUGUGAAAGCCCUCGGCCUAACCGAGGAACUGCAACUAAAACUAUUGUUCUUGAGUGCAGGAGAGGAAAGCGGAAUUCCUAGUGUAGCGGUGAAGUGCGUAGAUAUUAGGAGGAACACCGGUGGCGAAGGCGGCCUGCUGGACUGUGACUGACGUUGAGGCCCGAAGGCGUGGGGAGCAAACAGGAUUAGAUACCCGUGUAC